rnacentral:rRNA from 1 species
GACGAACGCUGGCGGCGUGCUUAACACAUGCAAGUCGAACGGAAAGGCCCUGCUUUUGUGGGGUGCUCGAGUGGCGAACGGGUGAGUAACACGUGAGUAACCUGCCCUUGACUUUGGGAUAACUUCAGGAAACUGGGGCUAAUACCGGAUAGGAGCUCCUGCUGCAUGGUGGGGGUUGGAAAGUUUCGGCGGUUGGGGCUGGACUCGCGGCUUAUCAGCUUGUUGGUGGGGUAGUGGCUUACAAAGGCGUUGACGGGUAGCCGGCCUGCGAGGGUGACCGGCCACAUUGGGACUGGGAUACGGCCCAGACUCCUACGGGAGGCAGCAGUGGGGAAUAUUGCACAAUGGGCGGAAGCCUGAUGCAGCAACGCCGCGUGCGGGAUGACGGCCUUCGGGUUGUAAACCGCUUUCGCCUGUGACGAAGCGUGAGUGACGGUAAUGGGUAAAGAAGCACCGGCUAACUACGUG